rnacentral:lncRNA from 1 species
AUAGGCACUGUGGACUACUAAACAGGUCCUUCUGAAGACCAAGAAACCUCUCACUGAGCAGCCUGCAGAGGCUGCAGGAGCACACACACAGUACUCCAUUCCAUUCCCUUGGAUUCUUGGGCACAAACCAUCCCCCUGGGAUAGCAGACUUUCUUCCAGUUUCAAGUCGUUUGACCAUGUUCUAGUCUGAGCUAAUUUUGUAAGUCAAAUUGCUUAAGAAUGAAUAUGAAAUCUUUGACUGAAGCCCAAAUAUAUAAAUACCCAUCACAUUUCCUUCCUCCCCAAUUUUGCAAUCAUCCAAAAAAGCUGUUCAUGUUGUCCAGCAUAAUUAGUUAUUUAUACACCCUCAUGUGGUCCAUUGUUCAGAAUUAAAUUGUCUGGUAUACAGAAUUUCUCUUGCAAGGCUUGUUUUGCCAUUUUACUGCUGUUUGGAAGCUGUUUGUAAAUAUGUCCUUGUAGAACCUUUUGGGAUAUGUCUGAGCAUAUCCAGGAUUUGGGAGGCGAUAUAAGCCAAUCCAUAUAAGCAAAUAUGCCCUGUGCAGGUCUCAGACCACCCCCUGCCUUCUAACACAAAGACUACCAAGAAUUAUUCAUCCUUUCCUUGAAGACCCAGGGGAAUUAGAAGGAACACAAAAAUAGACACAGAAAGGUAAAAGUGGAAAUCAUCUUGGAGAUCAAGACACUAGAUUCUAGUGACUCCAUUUUGCACAAGGGGAAGCGGGUCCCCAGAAAGGGGAAAUGAAAGGGACUGGUCUACAGCUUCUCGUGGGUUAGUGGCAGGGCCAUGCCCAAAUCAUUGUCAGCUGAGUCCAUGAUGUUCCUACUAAACCAUGAAGUGGACUGGUACAAGACUUCUCCCAGGCAUUUUCUGGGCUUGUUAUUUGCUCCUGAAUGACAUGGUCCCAGGCUGCUACGUUCUCAGCUCUGGUACCUAUGUAUAUAUUUUUUAUUUUUAUUUAUUUUUUUUUUGAGAUGUAGAUUCGCUCUGUUGCCUAGGUUGGAGAGUAGUGGCACAAUCUCGGCACACUGCAACUUCUGCCUCCCAGGUUCAAGCAGUUCUCCUGCCUCAGCCUCCUGAGAAGCUGGGAUUACAGGUACCCACCACCACACCCAGCUAUUUUUUUUGUAUUUUU